rnacentral:rRNA from 1 species
ACGAUGAAGAGUUUGAUCCUGGCUCAGGAUGAACGCUAGCGGCAGGCUUAACACAUGCAAGUCGAGGGGUAACAGGAAUUGCUUGCAAUUUGCUGACGACCGGCGCACGGGUGCGUAACGCGUAUAGAACCUACCUUAAACAGGGGGAUACCCCAUGGAAACGUGGACUAAUAUCCCAUAGUGUUGUAGAAUGGCAUCAUUUUACAAUUAAAGAUUUAUCGGUUUAAGAUGGCUAUGCGUCCUAUUAGUUAGUUGGUAAGGUAACGGCUUACCAAGACAUCGAUAGGUAGGGGUCCUGAGAGGGAGAUCCCCCACACUGGUACUGAGACACGGACCAGACUCCUACGGGAGGCAGCAGUGAGGAAUAUUGGUCAAUGGAGGCAACUCUGAACCAGCCAUGCCGCGUGAAGGAUGACUGCCCUAUGGGUUGUAAACUUCUUUUAUAGAGGAAGAACUGCAGAUACGUGUAUUUGUUUGACGGUACUCUACGAAUAAGGACCGGCUAACUCCGUGCCAGCAGCCGCGGUAAUACGGAGGGUCCAAGCGUUAUCCGGAAUCAUUGGGUUUAAAGGGUUCGUAGGCGGGCUGAUCAGUCAGAGGUGAAAUCCAGCAGCUUAACUGUUGAACUGCCUUUGAUACUGUCAGUCUUGAGUCAUAUGGAAGUAGAUAGAAUAUGUAGUGUAGCGGUGAAAUGCAUAGAUAUUACAUAGAAUACCGAUUGCGAAGGCAGUCUACUACGUAUGUACUGACGCUGAUGAACGAAAGCGUGGGGAGCGAACGGGAUUAGAUACCCCGGUAGUCCACGCCGUAAACGAUGGACACUAGUUGUUGGAUUUAGGUUCAGUGACUAAGCGAAAGUGAUAAGUGUCCCACCUGGGGAGUACGGUCGCAAGAUUGAAACUCAAAGGAAUUGACGGGGGCCCGCACAAGCGGUGGAGCAUGUGGUUUAAUUCGAUGAUACGCGAGGAACCUUACCAGGGCUUAAAUGUAGGAUGCAUUAUUUAGAGAUAGAUAUUUCUUCGGACUUCUUACAAGGUGCUGCAUGGUUGUCGUCAGCUCGUGCCGUGAGGUGUCAGGUUAAGUCCUAUAACGAGCGCAACCCCUAUCUUUAGUUGCUAACAGGUUAAGCUGAGGACUCUAGAGAGACUGCCGGUGCAAACCGUGAGGAAGGUGGGGAUGACGUCAAAUCAUCACGGCCCUUACGUCCUGGGCUACACACGUGCUACAAUGGUAAUGACAGAGGGCAGCUACUAGGCGACUAGAUGCAAAUCUUUAAACAUUAUCACAGUUCGGAUUGGAGUCUGCAACUCGACUCCAUGAAGCUGGAAUCGCUAGUAAUCGGAUAUCAGCCAUGAUCCGGUGAAUACGUUCCCGGGCCUUGUACACACCGCCCGUCAAGCCAUGGAAGCUGGGGGUGCCUGAAGUCGGUCACCGCAAGGAGCCGCCUAGGGUAAAACUGGUAACUAGGGCUAAGUCGUAACAAGGUAGCCGUACCGGAAGGUGCGGCUGGAACACCUCCUUUCUAGA